AUUGAACGCUGGCGGCAUGCUUUACACAUGCAAGUCGAACGGUAACAGGCCUUCGGGUGCUGACGAGUGGCGAACGGGUGAGUAAUGCAUCGGAACGUACCCAGAGGUGGGGGAUAACGCAGCGAAAGCUGUGCUAAUACCGCAUGUGAUCUGAGGAUGAAAGCGGGGGACCGAGCAGCAAUGUUUGGCCUCGCGCCUUUGGAGCGGCCGAUGUCGGAUUAGCUAGUUGGUGGGGUAAAGGCCUACCAAGGCGACGAUCCGUAGCUGGUCUGAGAGGCCGACCAGCCACACUGGGACUGAGACACGGCCCAGACUCCUACGGGAGGCAGCAGUGGGGAAUUUUGGACAAUGGGCGCAAGCCUGAUCCAGCAAUGCCGCGUGCGGGAAGAAGGCCUUCGGGUUGUAAACCGCUUUUGGCAGGAACGAAACGGUGUCCGCUAAUACCGGGCGCUAAUGACGGUACCUGCAGAAUAAGCACCGGCUAACUACGUG
rnacentral:rRNA from 1 species